UAUCGCUAAGUUUAAACCGUUGGUGGUGUAACAUGGUUUGUUGGAAAAGUCUAACGCCUAACUUCCCUCCGUCAGACGGCCUCGAGUCCAGCCCAGACACCAGGCAGCAGUGGCGCUUCUACGGCUACCUGACCGGCUACCUGACCUGCAUCACGGGCCAUCGCUGUGGGGUCUUCCAGAACCUGACCAUCCAGGAGGUCCAAGAGGCUUCCAGAAGCCCGGACGAGUCCGCCUAUGUCAUAAACAUCACCACGCAUAAGACAAACCGAGCCUUCGGCGCGGCUCAGCUGUCUCUCAACAAGGAAGAAUACAGCUGGUUCAGGAGGUUCUUGCAGCUGCGGGCUAGCCUCCCCGGGGGGAGCCAGGCCUCCUAUUUUUUUUUUUACUUCCAGACCCAGUCCCUGUCGAACCCUGAACAAAUAUUUUCAAUCUGCAUGGACCAGCAUGGGGCUUCCCGGCAAGCCCACCUUCACUGACGUCCGAACUGCCAUCGCGACCCACGCAAAGAAUUCACAUUCUUCCGAGGAUCGCAGGAAGGUGGCCCAAUUCAUGUGCCACGAUACCUCAACCUCAGACAAGUUCUACGCGCUUCACCUAGGCCCUCUCCAAGCACGUGAGCACCGCAGACUCUUCGAGAGGGCCUUGGUGGAGGAGGAGGAGGAGGAGGAG